UAUUUUAGCAAUAGAAUAUGAGAGUGACGUACGGGUGCGUAACAUGUAUGCAACCUACCCUUUACAGGCGGAUAGCUCGGGGAAACUCGAAUUAACCCGUCAUAAGAUCAUAGAGUGGCAUCACUUAGUGAUUAAAAUUACGGUGGUAAAGGAUGGGCAUGCGUCUGAUUAGUUAGUUGGUGCGGGUAACGGCCCACCAAGACGAUGAUCAGUAGGGGAACUGAGAGGUUGAUCCCCCACACUGGCACUGAGAUACGGGCCAGACUCCUACGGGAGGCAGCAGUAGGGAAUAUUGGUCAAUGGAUGGAAGUCUGAACCAGCCAUGCCGCGUGCAGGAAGAAGGCCUUCUGGG
rnacentral:rRNA from 1 species